CAUUAAGCUAUAAAGCUGAGUAAAUUCCCACUGCAUGUUGUUUUUCCAACUUUCAGUUUGAAUUCUGAAUAAAGUACUGAGACUUAAAUUCUACAUGCAGGCCAUGCAAUAAAUAAAUCUGAUCUCUUCAUGAUUUCUCACUGACCUCUUCCUGCUGGUUGCUGGGCUUGUGGGCGGGGCUGCUGUUGGAGGAAGAGGAAGUAGGUUUGAGCGGAGUGGAGGGAUGUGAGGAAGACGAGCGGCUGCUGCCGGAUGCCUGGCGGCUCAGGGAGUGAGACGACCCAGAUUCCUUCUUCUGGUACUCCUGUGGGUUCUGGAGCGCUGCGAAUAAUAAAGGCAAAAAAAUCGCACUCACAGUCAAUGUGAACUGAGAGAUUUUAACGGAGAGCUUGUCAUUUUUUAGAGCUUUCUAAUGAAUUACAAUGCAUGGACAUGCGUUUAUGUCACCCCGAACUGUCUUAUAGUUGUCAUCUGAAUGAGGGUGGAGCUUAUUUUUGGGCCUGAAAAAUGUAACAUUGCAUCCGUUUUUCUGAUGUUUCCCGACCUGUAAACACUGCACAGCAGAAUAUUUUUUCCUUAAAAUGAUGCCAAUUCCAGUUUCCUACCUGUGAGGAAGUUGCUCUGGAUGUCCAGAAGUUCCCGUAUGCUCUGUACCCACUCCUGCUUAAUGUCUAUAUUAGCGGCCUGUAGCGUUAGUCUCUCGGAUGAGCCACGGCACGAGAGCACAAACUUGCACGGGUCGCUCUCUACGUGCUGUUCCAUGCUCAGAAAGCUCACCUUAACAAAUUUAAAUUAACACACAUUAAUGCACUUAUUUGUAAUAAAGUAUGCGUUCUAGAGUAACAGGUCAGUUGUUGGACUUGUAUAAACUGAUUAAAACGUGUAAUUGUUGAUAUCGUGAAGUUUUCUGCGAAGAGAUGUUUAACACUUUGUUGCGCUUUAUAACAGUCAGAGGUAAAAUCAUAACUAUUUGUCAAUCAUGUAACCAGCUCUUCAGACUCCCCUUGAUUUCAGUACCUUGAUGCUCUUCUUAAACUGGUAUCCGGGCGUCGAGGAUCCUUUGCGAAGCAGCUCGCUGAAGAUGACGAUCUGCUCGAAGAGGAAGACUCUGCGCUCUUUACUGCGAGAGAGAACACCCGAAUCUUGCUCCGUCACAAAGAACAAAGGGUUUCUUUUUCUUUUAGAACGGCACUAAUCCAGGAGCACUGACGUUCGAAUCAGAUUUGACCCGAGAUGAUCCCCGAUGUGGACUGAACUGUUGUGUGUUGAAUUGAAAACGCAUGGCUAAAGGUUUCAGCCUCACCUCAUAGCCCUGCAACCUCCCCAAGUUCAUCAUAUCAUUGCAGCGUUUGGGCACCAAGAACAUCAGGUCAACUGCUUUCUGUAGGUGGGAAGAAUACGAGUUAAGGCUUACAGUGCAGUGAAAAGUCUUCGUACCAUAAACAUGAGGAGGGAAAAAAAAAAAAGAUUUUCAUUGCAACAAGAUAUUUGGAUCUGCCUUCGUUAUCAUGACGACAUGCUUAGCUAUGUUUACGGAAGGAGUCUCCAGUGUCUGACGCAGGAAAGUUUUUCAGGACAGAAGAAUUUACUGAAUUAAAGAUUUUUUGCAUUAUUAACUUAGAAAAUCGAGGAAUGAAUGACUGAAUCGAGCUGCUGUAAUUUUCUGCUCGGAAUGUCCUAUAACGUGAUAACAGGAACUUGUUUCAUGGACAUUCCAUAACAUUAAAUGUAACUGCAUACAGAUUGUACUGAAGUAUUACUUUUUUUAUAAUUGUUGCGGUAUAACGGGAACUAAAUAGAGAAGGUGACUUAAGUCCAGGGGCGUCGUAGUGGGGGGAAAAGGGGGACUGAUGCUGCGUUCAUGUGCUAUGGGCAUUAUGGUAAAUACCAAACGCCGACAUGGAAAGCACACAUGAACGCCCCCUCUUGUGGUAUUUUCCACUGGGCAACUCGUAGAAAAUUUUGAUACACGAGUUGCUGAGAUGAGAUGAACUUUAACCUUUUCAACAUGGUGGCGAGCGGUACAAGACACUUGAAUGUUAAGCAUUGUACGCUACUAAAGUUUUUUUUACUAGUACUAGUGGGUAGUUUUUUGUGUCUAUGCAAUGUUGUGUCAUUAACAAGUGUAAUAUAAUACGUCAGAAAUCCGUUUCCUUUAAAAAUGUGUUAUGGUUUGUUUUUACCUAUCCAGAGCAGACGCUAUUGCUAACGAUAGCUAACUAACUAUUGCUAACUUGAAUCUGGUCCACCAUCUUUAAUUUGUCAACAACAACAAAAGCAUGUGAACACAACACACUGGUAAAUACCACUUCCCAACUGGAAAAUAUCAUCUUCCCAUAGCACAUGAACGCAGCAUUGAGUUACCAGGGCCCCAAGUGGGGGGAGGGCCCUUGAGGAGUCUGUAAUUUUAAUUUUCCUUUAAAAUAUCAAUACCAUUUAAAGAUCACAAUAUAUGUUGCUAACUAAUGUAAAUGUAAUGUUUUGAGUAAAUAAAUCGUUUGAUUAAUGGAUUGAAUUGUUUGUCCUAGCCUACAUAUAGUGUCUGGGGACAGGCCCCCCCACCCUUUGCACGAAAUGGUUUAGUCCGCUUUCACCGGGCUUUUUAACUCGGCGCAUUUAACAUAGCGUUCAUUCUGCUGAAGCAGCGCUGCGCCUUGUAGGCUAUCUGUGCUAUGGAAGAUGAUGCACAAGAAAACAAAAUCCGGUUUUUAGAAACGAAAAGAGAGGCAGGAAAGAGACAAGAAAAGAAAUGAGGGAAAGCAACUGCUCACAAACUUCUUUCCCAAGAAAGGCGAGCCCAAAUGUGAAAGCAAAUAGCCUACGUUAAAUGAACACCCGCGGUUAUAAAUGCUUCAAUGCCACCGCGAUUGUCAGUGCUAAAAACUGCACAACACAAAAUUAGAAAUAACACGAUGCCUUUUUUCUCUGCAUUGCAAUAGUAUACUAAUCGAAAAUUAAAUUAUAUUGGGCCAUAACAUAAUUAGGCUAAUAUCAUUUAAAUCAUUUAACCAUCAACGUCAAGAAGACUGAAUGUAUGUAUUUUUAUUCCCAAAGGAAAAGCCUGUCCAUCUCUGUCCCUAUUACCCUUUCAAAUCAAAACCUUGUGACCACAAAAACCUAUAAAUAUCUUGGUGUGAUUUUGGAUUCACAUCUUACUUACAGAGAACACACAAUUAAGUUAGCAAGUAAAGUUAAUCAGAAGCUAUAUGUUUAUAGUAAGAUCAGACCAUAUUUGUCACCCUCAGUAUCACACACACAUUUACACGCAAUUAUUCUUUCAACAUUAUCUUAUUGUCUUCCUAUUUGGUCUCUCACUCCAAAAGAAAUCACAGAACCAAUUGCUAGAUUAUACAACAGAGCAUUUAAGAUCCACCAUCAACUUCCUAGUUGGACACAUCACUGUACCCACUCAAAUGCUCUUACUUUUCAGAACUACAUUAACACCCAUGCUAUGACAUUUUACUUUCAGCUACAAUCAAACUGUCCCAUAGCUAGUCUUGCUGUGUUCCUUCCAACAAUUAACAUGCAACAGGGGCGGACAACAAGAUCAGUAACUAGGGCACUUCUUACAGUGCCAGCCUUUAGAAACACCUAUGGCCAGCGAUCAUUCUUUCACACUUACACUAAAACAUGGAAUGAUAUUCCACAUCACAUCAGAAUAACACCAUCUAUUACGGUACUCAUUUUAAAAAGGCUUAUAUAUUUCUUUUGCUGAAUAGUUAUACUUGCAACCAGGGCUUUGAACCGGUUCAAGGAACGAAAACGAAAACCGGGAACUUUUUCUAUUUCACAUGGAACAGAAACGAAACCAGAAACUUUAUUAUUUUUUAUGUUCCGGAACAGAAACGCUUAUUAAAAAUAAUGGUAACCGGUUAAUACCGGUUUUUAUUUCGUUCCUCAAAGUUUCUGUAGCCUACAAAUAGUCAUUCUUCUCCUGCGCAAGUUUCUAUGACCCGCUGGGGUUCACUUCCUGUGUGACGUUCGCUGAUUGAAUGGAGAGAGCGGGAAGGUGGACUGCUAGUGAAUACUAGGUGAAUUACUGAGUGUCUGAGCAAAGAAGAGCCUGAACGAUGCAACCUCCCUAUUGGCUGUUUGUAAAAAUGUAUCAGUUGUUGCCCCUCCCACGGGAAUCAUCGCGGGCUCGAGAGACGAGACCUGACGAGUUAGUUCGUUGGUAGCAGAACAAAAUGUCUGGACACAAAUCGGGUUUUCAGAAAAGGAAAGAAAAUAAACGGAGGGUCGAAAAUACAAAAAAGGAGGCAGAAAAUGCAAAACGAGUUUUAAGAUAGGACAAAUGGUUACUUUUUAAGGCAGCCCGCCGUGGCUGCAGGCCUUCAGUUGUCACUGAAUGGUUACUUUUCUGAGGCAGCCCGCCGUGGCUGCCUGCAGGCUCAUUUAUUAUAGCCCAUUUAGUUAAAAUAGUUGAUAUAAAAUGUUUAUAGUUAUAGUUAUGUGAUGGUUGUCCUGAUUUAGACUGGUGGUUUUUUUUUGGGGGGGGGUUGCGCGAUGUUGCACCCGGGUCCAGAUUAGGGCAGAACCGGCCCUGGCUACAUUUCAGCUGUAGUUUGUUUUAUGUAUGUAUGCACUUGCAUAGAUGUGUACUUCCAAUAUGGCGCCUAACAAAAUCUCGCGGCGCGGUGACGUCAUGCGGUAGCCCUCUAUAGGGCGUGACUAGCCUUUGGUAACACACUAAACGAAUUCUCUUUCAUUUUUGGCACUUUUUCUGUUUGUGUAGAUGGGAAGACAUACUGAGAAUCCAAAUCGCCAACAUUUGAAAUAAUUGUUUUGAAUUAUUUCUUGUCUUAUUUAAUGAAGGUUGUAAUAGAAUUAGCCUACAUUUGGCUUAAGCUGGAUGAGACAGAGACAUAAUUUUAUAGCCAUUUGUUAAACAGCUGACAGGGAACGUAAUUAACCGUUCCGGGAACGAAAUUUUUUUUGUUCUAACCGGUUCGGGAACGUCUAUUUAAUGGUGGAACCCAAAACCGGAAACGUUAAAAUUCCGUUUCUGUUCGGAACGAACCAAUAGGAAAAAAAUUCUGGUUCAAAGCCCUGCUUGCAACCACUAACACAUCAUACAUACUUACACACACUGACAUUAUUCAAAACCUUAACUGAUUUAUGUCUGUGUAAUAUUGUUUACUUUUAUCCUUGUCCCACGUUUUUGUGCUGUUAUUGUACUGUAUUGUGGUGUUUAUACUUGUCAGUCUGGUGUUGGUGUCUUGUACUCCUGUUUGUUUUAUGUGCUGCAGAACAGGAACCUGCUGAAAACCAGCUGAAGCUGAGCCAGGCCCUUUAAACUGUAACUGUCUGUUACUUUUAAAAAUUCCUGUAUAAAUGAAUGAAUAGCUGGGGUAUAAAUUCCAGUGUUUAGCACUUUGUGGAAGCCGGUUUUCUUUUUGCCCUUUUUAAAAUGAAAAAUGACAAGAGAGUCAAGUUUUGUUUACCUUUCAUUCUAAAGGAAGUAUUUUGUUAAUGUUGAAAUCUGGAAAUGGCAUUUCUUUUAUGUAAUAAAUAAGCUACUUGAUAAAAAUCUGUUCUCUUCAGCCCAAUGCAAAGGUGCUCAAUUUUCAUGCAGGCCUAUUAUGUUUGGUGACCUUUGGUGGCAUUUACUGUUACAACUUUUAAUCAUUCUGCAAAUAAAACAAAGAUUCAGUGA